GGAUGUGAGGGCGAUCUGGCUGCGACAUCUGUCACCCCAUUGAUCGCCAGGGUUGAUUCGGCUGGUCUGGCUGGUUAGGUGGGUGUCCCCUUCCUCAUUGUUCCAUGUGUGUCCCUCUUGAAGCUGCGCACUUAGUGGAAGAGGACGACCUUCCCUGAAUAGAAGAGGACCUGUCUUCGGUCAAGGGUAUAUGAGUAGCUGCACUCCCCUGCUAGAACCCCCCAAACAAGCUCUCAAGAAAAUAAGGUACAUUUACACAAAGGAGUACUACUCAGCUGUUAAAAACAGUGACUUUACAUU
ensembl:misc_RNA 7SK 7SK RNA